GAUUAACGCUGGCGGCAUGCCUAAUACAUGCAAAUCGAACGAAGCCUUUUGGCUUAGUGGUGAACGGGUGAGUAACGCGUGAGGAACCUGCCUCAAAGAGGGGGACAACAGUUGGAAACGACCGCUAAUACCGCAUAAGCCCACGGCUCGGCAUCGAGCAGAGGGAAAAGGAGUGAUCCGCUUUGAGAUGGCCUCGCGUCCGAUUAGCUAGUUGGUGAGGUAACGGCCCACCAAGGCGACGAUCGGUAGCCGGACUGAGAGGUUGAACGGCCACAUUGGGACUGAGACACGGCCCAG
rnacentral:rRNA from 1 species